AUGGGACUGACUGGAUCUUUUUCUUUAGGCGUCACACCAUCAUUAUCGCCAUGGAGUUCUGUGGUGGAGGGUCCCUCUUUGAGCUCUACAAAGAUUGUGACCCAUUUUACAAGGAUGAAACGGCUUAUGUCUGCCGGGAGGUCUUACAGGUUACUAUCUAUUCAUCUAUUCCUCCACUUUCACACACACAAAAAAGCCUAAACUUUUUCAGAUAUAUAUGUGAUGUACUUCCUCUUUGCAUCCACUAGGGGCUGAAAUACCUGCAUGCCAAGAGCAUCAUACAUCGUGACAUAAAGGGACAGAAUGUCCUGGUUAACAAUGUCGGCGAUGUGAAGAUCUGUGAGUACUGACUUAUAGAAACAAAUUUUUCCACCACUUCCUGUGUAGCGCAAGGAAGCAGCGCUGAGGGUGUUUAGAAUAUGUGGAUGAAGAAAAAUUGUGAAUGUGAUUGUUUAAACAUCUCUUCCUCCAGGCGAUCUGGGUCUGGCGGCAAGAUUGUCAGACCAUGGUGCCCUGUUCAAUAAAGCAGGAACUUCCAAAUGGUACGUUCCUUUCAAAACCAAAUAUUCAUCUUUGUGUCUGUGUGGUGUGUAUCUCAGGGCUCACUUCUCCCUUGUCUGUGUAUCUGUUCUCAUGCAGGAUGGCCCCCGAAGUCGUCAGGGGCAAAAACAAAAUGCCCUACAAUGAGAAAUGCGACAUUUGGUCGCUGGGGAUAACGGCCAUUGAAGUCGCUCAAGCCGAACACCCCCCCGACUUCAUGAACCCUCGCCGGAUUGCUUCCUUCAUCUCACGCCUGAAGGAGGAGAGAAAUUGGUCUAGGAAAUUUGAGGACUUCAUCUGUCAGGUUCUUAAUGUUGAUCCUAGAAAGCGACC
rnacentral:lncRNA from 1 species